rnacentral:tRNA from 1 species
GAGUUUUAGAGAAAGCUGCUAACUAUCUCAUAGCAAUUUGUUGUUAAACCCCCC